rnacentral:rRNA from 1 species
AUUGAACGCUGGCGGCAGGCCUAACACAUGCAAGUCGAGCGGCAGCACGGGUACUUGUACCUGGUGGCGAGCGGCGGACGGGUGAGUAAUGCCUAGGAAUCUGCCUGGUAGUGGGGGAUAACGCUCGGAAACGGACGCUAAUACCGCAUACGUCCUACGGGAGAAAGCAGGGGACCUUCGGGCCUUGCGCUAUCAGAUGAGCCUAGGUCGGAUUAGCUAGUUGGUAGGUAACGGCCUACCAAGGCGACAAUCCGUAGCUGGUCUGAGAGGACGACCAGCCACACUGGGACUGAGACACGGCCCAGGCUCCUACGGGAGGCAGCAGU